rnacentral:rRNA from 1 species
AGUGAACGCUGGCGGUAGGCCUAACACAUGCAAGUCGAACGGCAGCACAGUAAGAGCUUGCUCUUACGGGUGGCGAGUAGCGGACGGGUGAGGAAUACAUCGGAAUCUACUUUUUCGUGGGGGAUAACGUAGGGAAACUUACGCUAAUACAGAAUACGACCUACGGGUGAAAGCAGGGGAUCUUCGGACCUCGGGCGAUUGAAUGAGCGGAUGUCGGAUUAGCUAGUUGGAGGGGGCAAGGCCCAACAGGGCGACGAUCCGUAGCUGAUGUGAGAGGAUGAUCGGCCACACUAGAGCGGAGACACGGACCAGACGCCUACGGGAGGCAGCAGUGGGGAAUAUUGGACAAUAGUCGCAAGCCUGGUCCAACCAGACCGCGUGUGUGGAGGAAGCGUUCGGGUUGGGAAGCCCGUUUGUUGGGAAAGAAAAGCAGCAGGUUAAUACCCCGCUAUUCUGACGGUACCCAAAGAAAAAGCACCGGCUAACUACGUG